CCUUUUCUCCUGGUGGCCCAGCAGCCGCGGUAAUUCUCCUUUACUUGGCGUAAAUUAAAGUUGUUGUGGUUAAAAAGCUCGUAGUUGAACCUUGGGCCUGGCUGGCCGGUCCGCCUCACCGCGUGCACUGGUCCGGCCGGGCCUUUCCCUCUGCGGAACCCCAUGCCCUUCACUGGGUGUGGCGGGGAAACAGGACUUUUACUUUGAAAAAAUUAGAGUGCUCAAGGCAGGCCUAUGCUCGAAUACAUUAGCAUGGAAUAAUAGAAUAGGACGUGUGGUUCUAUUUUGUUGGUUUCUAGGACCGCCGUAAUGAUUAAUAGGGACAGUCGGGGGCAUCAGUAUUCAAUUGUCAGAGGUGAAAUUCUUGGAUUUAUUGAAGACUAACUACUGCGAAAGCAUUUGCCAAGGAUGUUUUCAUUAAUCAGGAACGAAAGUUAGGGGAUCGAAGACGAUCAGAUACCGUCGUAGUCUUAACCAUAAACUAUGCCGACUAGGGAUCGGACGAUGUUACAUUUUUGACGCGUUCGGCACCUUACGAGAAAUCAAAGUGCUUGGGCUCCAGGGGGAGUAUGGUCGCAAGGCUGAAACUUAAAGAAAUUGACGGAAGGGCACCACCAGGGGUGGAGCCUGCGGCUUAAUUUGACUCAACACGGGGAAACUCACCAGGUCCAGACACAAUGAGGAUUGACAGAUUGAGAGCUCUUUCUUGAUUUUGUGGGUGGUGGUGCAUGGCCGUUCUUAGUUGGUGGAGUGAUUUGUCUGCUUAAUUGCGAUAACGAACGAGACCCUUAACCUGCUAAAUAGCCCGUAUUGCUUUGGCAGUACGCCGGCUUCUAGAGGGACAUCGCUCAAGCCCGAGGAAUACCAACCCAACUAACCCUCGGG
rnacentral:rRNA from 1 species